rnacentral:rRNA from 1 species
CCUACGGGAGGCAGCAGUAGGGAAUCUUCCGCAAUGGACGAAAGUCUGACGGAGCAACGCCGCGUGAGUGAAGAAGGUUUUCGGAUCGUAAAACUCUGUUGUCAGAGAAGAACAAGUUGGAGAGUAACUGCUCCAGCCUUGACGGUAUCUGACCAGAAAGCCACGGCUAACUACGUGCCAGCAGCCGCGGUAAUACGUAGGUGGCAAGCGUUGUCCGGAUUUAUUGGGCGUAAAGCGAGCGCAGGCGGUUCCUUAAGUCUGAUGUGAAAGCCCACGGCUCAACCGUGGAAGGUCAUUGGAAACUGGGGAACUUGAGUGCAGAAGAGGAGAGUGGAAUUCCAUGUGUAGCGGUGAAAUGCGUAGAUAUAUGGAGGAACACCAGUGGCGAAGGCGACUCUCUGGUCUGUAACUGACGCUGAGGCUCGAAAGCGUGGGGAGCAAACAGGAUUAGAUACCCUGGUAGUCCACGCCGUAAACGAUGAGUGCUAAGUGUUGGAGGGUUUCCACCCUUCAGUGCUGCAGCUAACGCAUUAAGCACUCCGCCUGGGGAGUACGGCCGCAAGGCUGAAACUCAAAUGAAUUGACGG